rnacentral:rRNA from 1 species
CCUACGGGUGGCAGCAGUGAGGAAUAUUGGUCAAUGGACGAGAGUCUGAACCAGCCAAGUAGCGUGAAGGAUGACUGCCCUAUGGGUUGUAAACUUCUUUUAUAUGGGAGUAAAAUGUUCCACGUGUGGGAUUUUGUAUGUACCAUAUGAAUAAGGAUCGGCUAACUCCGUGCCAGCAGCCGCGGUAAGACGGAGGAUCCGAGCGUUAUCCGGAUUUAUUGGGUUUAAAGGGAGCGUAGGUGGAUUGUUAAGUCAGUUGUGAAAGUUUGCGGCUCAACCGUAAAAUUGCAGUUGAAACUGGCAGUCUUGAGUACAGUAGAGGUGGGCGGAAUUCGUGGUGUAGCGGUGAAAUGCUUAGAUAUCACGAAGAACUCCGAUGGCGAAGGCAGUUCACUGGACUGCAACUGACACUGAGGCUCGAAAGUGUGGGUAUCAAACAGGAUUAGAUACCCUUGUAGUC